rnacentral:misc_RNA from 1 species
GAAGAAGAAGAAGAAGAAGAAACAUAAGGAAGCUUAUAGACAAGAGCCAUGGUUUCUAUAAGAUUGAGAACUCUGAGUUAAAAUAAGAGGAAAUAUAUAUAAAAAUGGAGAGAAAAAGCUUUGUUCUUUGGGAGUUAAUAGAGACCAUUUAUGCGUUUGUAUACAGAGAAUCCAAAAAAAAAAAACAAAUAGAGUUCAGGUUUGAUUUGAAGUUGUUGUCUUUGACCAUCUCUGGGUGGGUUGUGAAGCCGAAAGUGCCUUUUCGGCAUAGACAGAGACGCAUAUUCCCA